rfam:Xenopus laevis strain J chromosome 5L, whole genome shotgun sequence.
AGUCAGUGAUGACCUGUAAAAGGUCUGAUUGCAUUGUGCUUCCCCAACACACCAAAUCAUCUCCCAGCAGUCCUACUUUUUUUUCUGUUCCUGUCCUGCUCUAGCUAUGCAGUGAUGGGCAACGGGUCUGCCGACAUUUAUGGAUACCCCAUAAUGCCAAAUCUCUUUAAGAAUCCAGAGCUAUGGUAACACAGGGUAUCCGACACAUCCAGUGUAAAGGAGACUAAGGUGUUUGGUUUGAAGCAAUAUACUUUGCAUGAUCUCUAGUUUUCAAUCUGAGACU